rnacentral:tRNA from 1 species
UCCCCAUUAGCUCAAAUGGUAAAGAAUCUGCCUGCAAUGCGGGAGACCUGGGUUCGAUCCCUGGGUUGGGAA